rnacentral:rRNA from 1 species
UACGUAGGGUGCAAGCGUUAAUCGGAAUUACUGGGCGUAAAGCGUGCGCAGGCGGUUUUGUAAGUCUGGCGUGAAAUCCCCGAGCUUAACUUGGGAAUUGCGUUGGAGACUGCAAGGCUGGAGUCUGGCAGAGGGGGGUAGAAUUCCACGUGCAGCAGUGAAAUGCGUAGAGAUGUGGAGGAACACCGAUGGCGAAGGCAGCCCCCUGGGUCAAGACUGACGCUCAUGCACGAAAGCGUGGGGAGCAAACAGG